rnacentral:rRNA from 1 species
CCUACGGGAGGCAGCAGUGAGGGAUAUUGCACAAUGGGGGAAACCCUGAUGCAGCGACGCCGCGUGAGUGAAGAAGUAAUUCGUUAUGUAAAGCUCUAUCAGCAGGGAAGAAAAUGACGGUACCUGAGGAAGAAGCCCCGGCUAACUACGUGCCAGCAGCCGCGGUAAUACGUAGGGGGCAAGCGUUAUCCGGAUUUACUGGGUGUAAAGGGAGCGUAGACGGCAGUGCAAGUCAGGAGUGAAAGGCAUGGGCUUAACCCGCGGACUGCUUUGGAAACUGUACGGCUGGAGUGCAGGAGAGGCAAGUGGAAUUCCCGGUGUAGCGGUGAAAUGCGUAGAUAUUGGGAGGAACACCAGUGGCGAAGGCGGCUUACUGGACUGUAACUGACGCUGAGGCACGAAAGCGUGGGGAGCAAACAGGAUUAGAUACCCUUGUAGUC